rnacentral:rRNA from 1 species
UGCAGAAUCUCGCGAACCAUUGAGUCUUUGAACGCAAGUUGUGCCCGAGGUCUUGUGGCCGAGGGCACGUCUGCUUGGGCGUCAUGG